rnacentral:tRNA from 1 species
GGAGGGGUACCCAAGCGGUCAACGGGGGCAGACUGUAAAUCUGCUGGCUUUGCCUUCGGAGGUUCGAAUCCUUCCCCCUCCACCA